GACCACACGAAGCUGGAAUCGCUAGUAAUCGCGAAUCAGAAUGUCGCGGUGAAUACGUUCCCGGGUCUUGUACACACCGCCCGUCACACCAUGGGAGCCGGAAACGCCCGAAGUCAGUGGCCCAACCGGAAGGAGGGAGCUGCCGAAGGCAGGGCUGGUAACUGGGGUGAAGUCGUAACAAGGUACC
rnacentral:rRNA from 1 species